UUCUUGCAACCACCAAAAAACCCUAGUCUAGCGCUUGUCGAGUAAGCUACUUCUUCAUUCUUACAACCACCAAAAAAACCCCAGUCUAGUAGCGCGCCUCUUUCUUUCCCCAUGGCACCAUCGUCUCCUAGAGUGACGGUGUAUGUCACAUCCUCUGAUGAAAAGGAGAAAGCUCCAAUGUACGUUCCUACAAAUUGAGCGGAGCGAUUCAUUAUCU
rnacentral:lncRNA from 1 species